rnacentral:lncRNA from 1 species
AUGGCGAUUGAGUGGCCCAGGAUGGAAGACCAUUGGCAUCGGAGACCCAUCACAUAUUCCAUGACUCCCAGCCUGGAAAGUCAAGGUCUACGAGCCGCCACGGGCCACUGGACACGCGGCCCUUGGUGGUACAGGUGGAACACCAAUGGCUGUGCAUUUGGAGCGAAGGACAACAGUGGCAGAUUUAUGGACCAUCCAACAGUUUUCCUCUCCCAUAAUCAGUUCCUCUGUGGCGGAAUUCCAGAUCCACAAGUGCCUCAAGCCAGAGACAUCAUCAUGGGUUCAGCAGCUGCAGCUGUUUCUGGAUUCUGUCAUGGCAUGGCUUGUGCUGUCAAGAUGGUCAUGGAUCACGUGGGUCUUGUGUUGUCUCCGGGGCCACUGUAGUGAUGUUUCACUGCCUUAAAAAGUGCAAUACAUCACAAUGAGUAACUUACAUGCUGUAAAAAGGGUGGAGCGCCACAUCUUUGCAUUUCAGAAUAGUUCCAAUGGCCUGUAGUUUUUUGUGUUUUUCAAGCUAAACACUUGUAGCAUGGCUGUAGUCUGGGAAACAAGCACACUUGUGUGCUACCUAGAUUGUUCACAGCUGUACUGUGGAGCCCCUUUGUUGCACAGCCCAAGAACUAGUUUCAUGGAUAAUCUCCUUGUCAAAGGAGGGCCUUAUUCUUAUGCAAGCUCUCAGAUACCUUUGUUCCUUCCCCAUGGUGGUGAGACCAUUUUGAGCAGAGUAGGUACCAAGAGUGUGUUUUCCUGGAGGGACAGUGGUAGUUCAGACAAGGUGGCCUCCUUCCCCUGAGGGUGAAUUGGGGUUUCUUAGAGGUUAUCUUUACAUUGGGUGAAAAAGUUGGCU